CUUUCACUAUCACUUGCUCUGAUACCACUCUAUCUGUCACGUCCCGCUAUCGCCAAUUUGGUCGAUCCGGGCCCGUACACAGACGCCGAACGAACAGCACCUCCUCUGUUCGCCCAAGGCUCAACAACAACGAAUACAUGUAUAAAGAAAUAAACAAUUCCCAGGAUCACAUUUCAAUAUACAUGGCUUGCACGAAGGCAAGCAACAAUCACAAGUGAUAGUAAGUCUAACUAAACAUGAAAUCCACUGUAAUUUAAAACUUUACAUAACUGAAACAUUUAGUUAUUACAUGCUUUAUAUACAAUCAUUUACAUGUCUCUGUACAUCGAAAUAGAUAAUACAUGAACCCAAAAU
rnacentral:lncRNA from 1 species